CACACCAGUGGUCACAGGAAUUGAGAUUAGAAAGUUACAGUAGGUGGGCAGAUUUAUUUGGAGCAGAUUCAUUGUAGCUUUAUUCCUGUUUGAGAGUCCAGCACAGGCAGCAGAGCCAACUGCAUAGCAGACAUCCAGGUUGAAUUUACUACAGUUAUGGGGGACAAGCAGCAAGAGGAUGCCAAGCAAAGCCAGCGAAGGCAGAUAAAGAAGUAGCAGGCAGCAUCUGAUUAAUCCAUGGUCCUACAAAUCAGUAUCACUGAGCCACGUUCUGAGCCAGGGAACUAGUAUGUGAUUGAAUUCCAACUGCAAGGCAGACACCGGGAUGGAUUAAUCGCAAAGGUAUAUUAGCAGCAAGGAUGACGCCAAAAGCAGAGCGCGACGCUAACUAGCCAAGGUCAAAAAUGCGUGGCACAGUGGGACAACCAUUCUCCAGGUCCAGCGACGAUGCACGGAUAUCAUUGCACCGCGCUCAGUAGACACACAGCACUUAUUAACAGGUCCCAAAUUAAUAGCGCCAUAUAAUAUCAGCAGGUAUAGAACCAUAGAGACUGGAAAGCUUCACUAGUUUUAUUCCUGUUUGAGUAUCCAGUAAAUGUACCAGAGCCAGUCACAUACA